GGGAAUGUAGCUCAGUGGGAGAGCACUUGCCUAACAUGCACAUGGCCCUGGGUUCAAUCCCCAGUACCCCCC
rnacentral:tRNA from 1 species